GACGAACGCUGGCGGCGUGCCUAAUACAUGCAAGUAGGACGCACAGUCUAUACCGUAGCUUGCUACACCAUAGACUGUGAGUUGCGAACGGGUGAGUAACGCGUAGGUAACCUGCCUAUUAGAGGGGGAUAACUAUUGGAAACGAUAGCUAAUACCGCAUAACAGUAUGUAACACAUGUUAGAUGCUUGAAAGAUGCAAUUGCAUCGCUAGUAGAUGGACCUGCGUUGUAUUAGCUAGUAGGUAGGGUAAUGGCCUACCUAGGCGACGAUACAUAGCCGACCUGAGAGGGUGAUCGGCCACACUGGGACUGAGACACGGCCCAGACUCCUACGGGAGGCAGCAGUAGGGAAUCUUCGGCAAUGGGGGGAACCCUGACCGAGCAACGCCGCGUGAGUGAAGAAGGUUUUCGGAUCGUAAAGCUCUGUUGUUAAGGAAGAACGAGUGUGAGAAUGGAAAGUUCAUACUGUGACGGUACUUAACCAGAAAGGGACGGCUAACUACGUGCCAGCAGCCGCGGUAAUACGUAGGUCCCGAGCGUUGUCCGGAUUUAUUGGGCGUAAAGCGAGCGCAGGCGGUUAGAAAAGUCUGAAGUGAAAGGCAGUGGCUCAACCAUUGUAGGCUUUGGAAACUGUUUAACUUGGGUGCAGAAGGGGAGAGUGGAAUUCCAUGUGUAGCGGUGAAAUGCGUAGAUAUAUGGAGGAACACCGGUGGCGAAAGCGGCUCUCUGGUCUGUAACUGACGCUGAGGCUCGAAAGCGUGGGGAGCGAACAGG
rnacentral:rRNA from 1 species